CAGUCGCCACGGGAAUACGUAGGGUGCAAGCGUUAAUCGGAAUUACUGGGCGUAAAGCGCGCGUAGGUGGUUCAUUAAGUUGGAUGUGAAAGCCCUGGGCUCAACCUGGGAACUGCAUCCAAAACUGGUGAGCUAGAGUACGGUAGAGGGUAGUGGAAUUUCCUGUGUAGCGGUGAAAUGCGUAGAUAUAGGAAGGAACACCAGUGGCGAAGGCGACUACCUGGACUGAUACUGACACUGAGGUGCGAAAGCGUGGGGAGCAAACAGGAUUAGAUACCCCCGUAGUCCCUGUCUCUUAUAC
rnacentral:rRNA from 1 species